GACUUUAUAGUUUAAAAAAAAAUAUUAAAUUGCAAAUUUAAAGUUACAUUUACUGUUAGAGUUU
rnacentral:tRNA from 1 species